GACGAACGCUGGCGGCGUGCUUAACACAUGCAAGUCGAACGCUGAAGCUCAGCUUUUGUUGGGUGGAUGAGUGGCGAACGGGUGAGUAACACGUGAGUAACCUGCCUCCUUCUUUGGGAUAACGCCCGGAAACGGGUGCUAAUACUGGAUAUUCACUGGUCUUCGCAUGGGGGUUGGUGGAAAGGGUUUUUCUGGUGGGGGAUGGGCUCGCGGCCUAUCAGCUUGUUGGUGGGGUGAUGGCCUACCAAGGCUUUGACGGGUAGCCGGCCUGAGAGGGUGACCGGUCACAUUGGGACUGAGAUACGGCCCAGACUCCUACGGGAGGCAGCAGUGGGGAAUAUUGCACAAUGGGCGCAAGCCUGAUGCAGCGACGCCGCGUGAGGGAUGGAGGCCUUCGGGUUAUGAACCUCUUUCGCUCAUGGUCAAGCCGCAACAAUGGUUGUGGUGAGGGUAGUGGGUAAAGAAGCGCCGGCUAACUACGUG
rnacentral:rRNA from 1 species